rnacentral:misc_RNA from 1 species
CUGUGCCUAGUAUAUCCAACUCAACAAAUGAAACCCCAGGUGAAGAACAACCCAGGUCCCCUCACACCUAGAAAAAUCCCGUCCAAAACCAUCGCCUCCUCCUCCUCCUCCUCCUUCCCCUCAAGUCCAGAAAAAUCAUCUUCAAAGCCUACGAUUUCAGCCAACGCUUUUGUUCUUCUUCGACGGCGACGCUCCCUCCACUUCGCCGCUGUUCAAGUCGUAUCGGUCCACUAUUCAAUCUCAGCCUCAACCUCGACGCUGCCCAACAACUCUUUGUUCCUUGCGGAAGCAAUUCGGUCCGUUUUGCAGGUGAGAUGGUCUUGGGUUCAUUGGGAAUUUGCUCUUUGGGUUAACUGCUCUUUGUGCGUUGAUUCUCUGCAUGUGUUUCUUUCUGCCUAUGCUACUUGUGUGUUAAUUGUUGCAAUUAAUCAAAACCCACCACCAUCGCCAACAGCCCAACAGCAGCGGGAGCAGAACCAA